rnacentral:sRNA from 1 species
CAAAAUCGUGUGGUGGGAGCUAUGCAGCUAUAUUCUGUAGAUAGGAAAGUGUCUCAGCCCAUUGAAGGACAUGCAGCUAGCUUUGCACAGUUUAAGAUGGAAGGAAAUGCAGAAGAAUCAACGUUAUUUUGUUUUGCAGUUCGGGGCCAAGCUGGAGGGAAGUUACAUAUUAUUGAAGUUGGCACACCACCUACAGGGAACCAGCCCUUUCCAAAGAAGGCAGUAGAUGUUUUCUUUCCUCCAGAAGCACAAAAUGAUUUUCCUGUUGCAAUGCAGAUCAGUGAAAAGCAUGAUGUGGUAUUCUUGAUAACCAAGUAUGGUUAUAUCCACCUCUAUGAUCUUGAGACUGGUACCUGCAUCUACAUGAAUAGAAUCAGUGGAGAAACAAUUUUUGUUACUGCACCUCAUGAAGCCACAGCUGGAAUAAUUGGAGUAAACAGAAAGGGACAAGUAAGGAAACCUUGAAACUUAAGCAAUAAAAUAAGAUAACCUGAUGAGUUGGGAACAAUCCUGUACUUUUGAGAAAUUACCCCCCAAAAUAAUAAAAUAGAAAAUAAACACAUUACUGUUAGUUUUUUUCCAAAAAGUAAAUAGUAACUUUGGAUAUUAGAAAAUAAUAUAUAUCAAAGCAUGAUGUAAGCUGAUAAAAAAGAA